AUCCUGCCAUCAAUGACUGAACCUCCCUGAAAUCUUCUUAUCAGUUACUGCUGAGAUGAGAAGGAUAACAGGAAAGAGGAGCGCUUAAGUGGUUUUUGUGACAGUUAAUUUCAUCUAUUUAUCAAAUGACAGGUUGUUUUUUUCCUCAAAACUUGAUUGUCACGACAAGAUGCUUUUGGAAGUUAUCUUUGUAAAAUGAAACUGACAAUUUUUAGGCUACAAAGCGUUAUUGUAUCUUUCUAUACAAUGUUGUCAUUAUGGUAAACCGCUGGAAAGUCGUUAUUUUUGAAGUAAUUGAACUCGCAUACUUCAGUCAUUUAUUUGAAAGUAUGUUGAAUGCUGUUUGAGAAGUUUCUUGCCAGAGUUCUUCUAUUCAAUGGGAUAGUUAUUCUUACAACACUCAAUUUGUUAUUGUCUAAAUUACUGUUGCCUUAGCCCUCUGCAAAAUGUUUCUUUUUAGUAAUUCUUACACAAGUAAGGAAUGAAUGAGGUUUUGUCCCUUGGUGUUUUGAUGGGCAUAUUUUACCUUUCAGUAAAAGCUUCUUUAGUUUUCAGAAUGACAGUAUUACAAAGAAAGGUGCUUUACUUUCUUUAUUUUUUACCAACAGAAAGUGUGUUUUGUGCAAUGAUUUCUUGAAUACGUACAGUGCCAAGACACAGUUACUGGAAGGAGAGACGAGCUGUUGAGAAUGUCGUGUUAUGCCAAAUUAAGAAUUAUUAAUUCUUUCUUUCUCUGUGCAAUCUUUUUGACUAUAAAUCGUCCUAAUAUGUCUGGCUUAUGCUUUGUCUCUAGUGGAACUAAUGUGUCCUCAGAGUUGCAUUUUAGAGUAACUUCAGAUUCACUUGUGUCUUUUUUUUUUUCCACAAGUCUGCUUUAAAUUGCUGGGAUUAACUUCAGAGAAGGCAAGGGAUGGAGCCUCCUUUGUCAGCAUCUGUGCUGGUUAAAGAAGGAAGCUUCAUGCACGCUUGCUCACUCUCUUGCAGGUUAUUGCCCCUGCUAGGCAAGCAUGCUGAAGUGUUUUGCUUAGCACACCCAGAUUUAAUUCAGCCCAAGAUGAUCAUGUUAUCAAAUCCUGGUUACCUGGGAGCCCGGGUCAUUUUGACAGAAGGGCAGGGAGUGUGCAGGCCAGCUGCAUGGAUGGCACGUCUGGGAAAGUGGCGUGUUAUCAGGAGGGAUGGACUGCAUAGUUUGCCAAUGCAAGUGGAGAGAGAGAGGGUGAAUUCGGGCUGGCUCCAGGUUUGAGAGCUGAGCCCUGUGAUGGCAGCGUGGGGUCAAGCUCCUGCUGAGCUCUGGGCAUCCGUGCUGGGUUCAGAUGUGAAGUGCCUCAUGCCAAGAACUUCCAAGACGUCUCCCAUGGCCGCUGAGAGCUGAGCUGCUGCAGCUCCUUGAGACAGCCCGUAAUUCUUGCAUCUUAAUAUGGGCCAUUGUCAUACCCAUGUUAAAAUACUUAAUGAAACGCUUGCGACUUCCUAAUAAAGUUUUUGUCUGCUCGAGUGUUAAUACCA
rnacentral:lncRNA from 1 species